GAAGUCUUCGGAUGGAUAGAAGAACCCCUGAUGCCGUCGAGCCAAGAAAAGUUUCUAAGUUUAGCUAAUGUUGCCCGUACCGUAAACCGACACAGGUGGGUGGGAUGAGUAUUCUAAGGCGCGUGGAAGAACUCUCUUUAAGGAACUCUGCAAAAUAGCACCGUAUCUUCGGUAUAAGGUGUGGUUAGCUUUGUAUUAGGAUUUACUCCGAAAGCAAGGAAACUUACAACAAAGAGUCCCUCCCGACUGUUUACCAAAAACACAGCACUCUGCUAACUCGUAAGAGGAUGUAUAGGGUGUGACGCCUGCCCGGUGCUCGAAGGUUAAUUGAUGGGGUUAGCAUUAGCGAAGCUCUUGAUCGAAGCCCGAGUAAACGGCGGCCGUAACUAUAACGGUCCUAAGGUAGCGAAAUUCCUUGUCGGUUAAAUACCGACCUGCAUGAAUGGCGUAACGAGAUGGGAGCUGUCUCAAAGAGGGAUCCAGUGAAAUUGUAGUGGAGGUGAAAAUUCCUCCUACCCGCGGCAAGACGGAAAGACCCCGUGGACCUUUACUACAGCUUGACACUGCUACUUGGAUAAGAAUGUGCAGGAUAGGUGGGAGGCUUUGAGUAUAUGACGCCAGUUGUAUAUGAGCCAUUGUUGAGAUACCACUCUUUCUUAUUUGGGUAGCUAACCAGCUUGAGUUAUCCUCAAGUGGGACAAUGUCUGGUGGGUAGUUUGACUGGGGCGGUCGCCUCCCAAAUAAUAACGGAGGCUUACAAAGGUUGGCUCAGAACGGUUGGAAAUCGUUCGUAGAGUAUAAAGGUAUAAGCCAGCUUAACUGCAAGACAUACAAGUCAAGCAGAGACGAAAGUCGGUCUUAGUGAUCCGGUGGUUCUGUGUGGAAGGGCCAUCGCUCAAAGGAUAAAAGGUACCCCGGGGAUAACAGGCUGAUCUCCCCCAAGAGCUCACAUCGACGGGGAGGUUUGGCACCUCGAUGUCGGCUCAUCGCAUCCUGGGGCUGGAGCAGGUCCCAAGGGUAUGGCUGUUCGCCAUUUAAAGCGGUACGCGAGCUGGGUUCAGAACGUCGUGAGACAGUUCGGUCCCUAUCUGCCGUGGGCGUAAGAAGAUUGAAGAGAUUUGACCCUAGUACGAGAGGACCGGGUUGAACAAACCACUGGUGUAGCUGUUGUUCUGCCAAGAGCAUCGCAGCGUAGCUAAGUUUGGAAAGGAUAAACGCUGAAAGCAUCUAAGCGUGAAGCCAACUCUAAGAUGAAUCUUCUCUAAGCUCUCUAGAAGACUACUAGUUUGAUAGGCUGGGUGUGUAAUGGAUGAAAGUCCUUUAGCUGACCAGUACUAAUAGAGCGUUUGGCUUAUCUUUAAUAAAGCAU
rnacentral:rRNA from 1 species